rnacentral:rRNA from 1 species
GAUGAACGCUGGCGGCGUGCCUAAUACAUGCAAGUCGAACGAACAGACGAGGAUCUUGCUCCUCUCACGUUAGCGGCAGACGGGUGAGUAACACGUGUAUAACCUACCUGUCAGACUGGUAUAACUUCGGGAAACCGGCGCUAAUACCGUAUAAUAUAUUGAACCGCAUUGUUCAAUAGUGAAUGACGGUUUUUCUGGCUCUUCUAGAUGCAUCUGCGCGUGAUUGGCUAGUUGUUAAUGUCACAGCUUUUCAAGGCAAGGAUGCGUAGCCGACCGGAAGGAGGGAUAGGCCACCCUGGAACGGGACCACGGUCCAGACUACUACGGGAGGGAGCAGUAGGGAAUGGUACGCAAUGGGCGAGAGCCUGACGGAGCAACGCCGAGUGAGUGACGAAGGUCUUCGGAGCGUAAAACUCUCCUACGAGGGAAGAACAAAUGUGUAAGUAACCAUGCACGGCUUGACGGUACCUAAUCAGAAAGCCACGGCUAACUACGUG